UUGGAGGGCAAGUCUGGUGCCAGCAGCCGCGGUAAUUCCAGCUCCAAUAGCGUAUAUUAAAGUUGUUGCAGUUAAAAAGCUCGUAGUUGAAUUUCGGGGUCAGUAGGUUGGUCAUGCCACUGGUAUGUACUGGUCUCACUGAUUCCUCCUUCCUGAUGAGCUGUAAUGCCAUUAAUUUGGUGUUAUGGGGAGUUAGGACUGUUACUUUGAAAAAAUUAGAGUGUUUAAAGCAGGCUAACGCCUGAAUACAUUAGCAUGGAAUAAUGAAAUAGGACGUUCGAUCCUAUUUUGUUGGUUUCUAGGAUUGACGUAAUGAUUAAUAGGGAUAGUUGGGGGCAUUAGUAUUCAAUUGUCAGAGGUGAAAUUCUUGGAUUUAUUGAAGACUAACUACUGCGAAAGCAUUUGCCAAGGAUGUUUUCAUUAAUCAAGAACGAAAGUUAGGGGAUCGAAGACGAUCAGAUACCGUCGUAGUCUUAACCAUAAACUAUGCCGACUAGGGAUCGGAUGAUGUUAAUUUUUUAAUGACUCAUUCGGCGCCUUACGGGAAAC
rnacentral:rRNA from 1 species